UCCCUUGGAAAAUGCAUGGUGUACCCUAUUGUGAAGCUUAAUAUGGUGUUGUGGGCUGUGGCAUGGUUCGAUCCUGAGCCAAUUGAUCGUUACUUCACUAAACACCAAUCUAGUGUCUAGGGACAAGAACAUGUGGAGGAAGGGAUGCCAAUUGUUUGACAAAAUUCCCAAAGCCCAUGUUGCACAGGCAUGCACCUCUUAUGUGCAUGCUUUAUAUGCACAACACUAGCAAGCUUAAAACAUGCAUAUAUGGUUAUACAACGACUACCUUCAAGAAUGGUGUUAGGGCUGGUAUAUGCUAAGACGCGGAACCUUCUCACCCCAAUAACCAUGCAUGAAUGCUGGAACUUGGGUGUUGUCCUCAAGCUUACGUUUCUUCAAGUAAGUGAUUUGAUUUGCCAAUAAUACCAAACAAUUCAUUGGUCUUUUUCUUUUAUUUUUUGGUCUACUUAUUCCUACUUCUAAUGAGACUUUUGCUUUAAGUCUCUCAGAGGUUUUUUUUUUUUUUUUUCAAUGGCUUUUUAAAGAUACUCUUGGAUUUUUACUCGCACUACUUACUCACAAGCAUGGCGUCCA